rnacentral:rRNA from 1 species
CACGUAGGCGGCCUGGUAAGUCAGAUGUGAAAGCCCGGGGCUUAACCCCGGAAGUGCAUUUGAUACUGCUCGGCUUGAGUAUGGGAGAGGGAAGUGGAAUUCCUGGUGUAGAGGUGAAAUUCGUAGAUAUCAGGAGGAACACCGGUGGUGAAGGCGACUUCCUGGACCAAUACUGACGCUGAGGUGCGAAGGCGUGGGUAGCAAACAGGAUUAGAUACCCUGGUAGUCC